ACAGAAGUCACAGAGAUGAAGAAUGCAGUAACUGAACUGAAAUAAUAUACUAGAGAGGAGUUUCGUUCCUGCAUCUGUCAGCAAACGCUUAUGGACUCUGCUAUGCACCAGGCACCGCCCGGUGGCCUGCAAUGCAGAUAUGAACAGCUAGCUUCCACUGAAGAUUUCUCUCUACCUCGAAGAGAAUAUGUGUUCAGUUACAGCACCAUGUGAAAUACUAUAAUUGGAACCUAUUCUACAUUCAAAUAAAUAAAUUAUUAAUACUCUC